UCGGCGUGUUCACGUCGCUCCCGUAGUCGUAUCCAGAAAGGAAACCCUUCUCGCUUUUUCCUCUCUGUGUCGAAAACCUCGAGUCCUCCUCUCCAUCGGCGACUCGCGGAAUCCUUCAGCAGAUUUCUUGAUUCGUGGUGGAGUUCGCUUUGUGCCCAUCGAUUGGGCGCUAAUUUUGUGAGAUUUGUAAGUGGUUCCACAUCUCUUCAUCGCUUGGUGAAUUCUAGGGUUUCGUCGCUCCUGGGUUUGUUUCUUGCUUUCGCCCCCUUUUCGAUUUCUAGGGUUUCUUUUGGUCAGUAGUCGGAUUUUUUUGGGGUUUCCUCACGUUAUGGCUGCUGGUCGACAUGGUGGGUACCGGGAUCAUGAGUUCAGGGACCGGGAAGCAGAUGUAGAGGUCUCCAGGAGGAAGAAUUAUUAUCGGGAUCGGCUCCGUGAUGGGGCUCGCGAUAGGGACCGUGAUCACGGUGGCCGGGAUAUGCGUGAUAGGGCUAGUACCUGGCAAAGAGGCAUCCGGAAGAUGGAAGCGGUGAAUGGCUCCUGUCGCUCCCCCUUGUCGAGCAAUUCCAGUGGCGGAAGCGGGAAAAGUCAGAAAAGGAUUCGCCUAUCUGCGAGAGAUGUCGAACGUGAAGCUGGGGAGUUGUCUAGUGGGAGUGGAUCGGAUGAUACUGAAGCACCUCUUUCAGAGGUCAGGGAGAAUGGGACUCAGAAUUAUGAGACUGGUGAUCCUUCCAUGUCUACUGGGAAACGGAAAUUUUCUCCGAUUGUUUGGGAUAAGGAUGAAAAUAAACAAUCCACGGUUGUAAUGUCCAGAGUUAAGAGCAGCAAUCUCGAAAACGUUACCUUGCCUCCACCGCCUCCAUUGCCUCCAAAUUUCAUACCACCACGGUCUAUUACCAUUGUUCAACCGUCUGUUGGGGAUACAUUGCCUUUAGAUGUAGAUGUCCAUGUAGACUCAGCUCGGGAACAUCUGCUGAAUAAUAGUCAGGAGACCACGUUGCUAGAUGACUAUGAAAAGGAACUUUCACCUGCUCGGAGUAUUUCUAUUUCCAGAUGGGCAGACGGAAACUAUACAUUCCACGAUGCUGAAGAUGAAUAUUUUGAGGAUGCUGUGCCCAAAAGAAGAAAGACUGUCUUAUCUGAUUCUGAAGGCCAAAAAUCGCAGGAGACACCUACUCCUGAGCUAGGUGAGAUUAUCAUGAGAGAAGAUUCUGUAGUGGCUUUGUCUAAGUUGUCUGAUUCAGAAGGAGAGGAUGGAGAUGAUGACCAGGGGGUUGAGGUAGAUAGGAAUGAUUAUAUGGUGGCCAAUGGCAAUGAGUCUAAUGCAGACACAAAUGAUCAAUUGUCUGAAACCGACUCUGAAUCUGAGGACAUUAGGGCCAAGAUGUCAGAGCCCAGACAGCCACCCCAAAGAUGUAUAAACAUGCUCCAAGGUUGUAGAAGCGUUGAUGAGUUUGAGAGGCUGAACAAAAUAAAUGAAGGCACGUAUGGUGUUGUGUACAGAGCAAAGGAUAAAAAGACUGGGGAGAUAGUGGCACUGAAAAAAGUGAAAAUGGAAAAGGAGAGGGAGGGAUUUCCACUGACCUCACUUAGGGAGAUAAAUAUUUUGCUUUCUUUUCAUCAUCCUUCGAUUGUGGAUGUUAAGGAAGUUGUAGUUGGUAGCAGUCUUGAUAGUAUUUUUAUGGUUAUGGAAUACAUGGAACAUGAUUUAAAGGGGCUGAUGGAGACCAUGAAGCAGCCAUUUAAUCAGAGUGAGGUAAAAUGCUUAAUGUUGCAGCUGUUUUCAGGUGUCAAGUACCUUCAUGACAACUGGGUACUCCAUAGGGAUUUGAAGACAUCAAAUAUUCUGUUAAAUAAUCGUGGAGAGUUGAAGAUAUGUGAUUUUGGUUUGUCUCGCCAAUAUGGCAGCCCAUUGAAGCCAUACACUCACUUAGUGGUGACAUUAUGGUACAGGUCACCUGAACUUCUAUUAGGAGCUAAGGAGUAUUCAACUGCUAUUGACAUGUGGUCCUUAGGGUGCAUAAUGGCCGAACUUCUAGCAAAGGAACCCUUAUUCAGUGGAAAAACCGAGUUUGAUCAACUUGACAAGAUAUUCAGGAUGCUUGGUACACCCAGCGAAAAGAUUUGGCCUGGAUUUUCUAAAUUACCUGGUGCUAAAGUUAAUUUUGUCAAGCAACCGCCUCGAGCUAUGGAUGAUCAUGCCUAAGCUUUAUGGCUUGCUUUGGUGGCACUAGCACUUAGGUGAAGUGUCUUUGAUAAUUUUAAUUCAUUUAGCAAAUUGUUUCUCCAUCUUGCAGGUAUAAUAAACUACGAGAAAAGUUUCCUCCCAUUUCUUUUUCUGGACAUCCAACCCUGUCUGAAGCUGGAAUUGACUUGUUAAACAAACUUCUGGCAUAUGACCCAGAGAAGCGAAUAACAGCGGAGGCUGCUCUUAAUCAUCAGUGGUUCUAUGAGGUUCCUUUGCCAAAGUCAAAGGAUUUUAUGCCUACUUUUCCAGCUCAACAUGCUCAAGACAGGCGUCUGCGAAGAAUAAUGAAGAGCCCUGAUCCACUUUCAGAACAACGGAAGAAGGAAUUGCAACAGGCUGAACUAGGUGUUUCUAGUCUCUUUGGUUAGAGGAUAAGUACAAGACAUUUCUGGUGGUCUUUGCUGUGAGUACCGAGUAACCCCUGCAUAUUUAGUCAAGGAUCCUUGUUCAAGAAUUACUUAGGUGACAUUGUGCAGCUUUGUUAGCGUCAGGCAGUGGUUGACAAUGUUUAGCAGGCAUCACUUUGGUGUGGAUGGUGAUAAAGGAUACUAUUUUCCUUUUUCCAUCAAAACGAUACCUAUAUCAAGGAAAUUUUCACUUAAGCAGCAGUAACGAUAAAGCUCACCCUUUAUGUUGUGGAUAUUUUAUCUCGGUAUGACUAGUUCCAUAGGAGAUUUGUACAUGUAACAAAUUUGUUAUUGGCACAUUGUAAAUGUUGCUUAUGAUGACUGGAUUAAUACCAAUUAUUAAUUGAAUGUUGACUAUGCUUUCGUGAAA